rnacentral:rRNA from 1 species
AGGGUUUGAUUAUGGCUCAGGACGAACGCUGGCGGCGUGCCUAACACAUGCAAGUCGAACGGAGAAUUUUAUUUCGGUAGGAUUCUUAGUGGCGAACGGGUGAGUAACGCGUAGGCAACCUGCCCUUUAGACGGGGACAACAUUCCGAAAGGAGUGCUAAUACCGGAUGAGAUCAUUCUCUCGCAUGGGAGAGUGAAGAAAGAUGGCCUCUACAUGUAAGCUAUCGCUAAAGGAUGGGCCUGCGUCUGAUUAGCUAGUUGGUAGUGUAACGGACUACCAAGGCGAUGAUCAGUAGCCGGUCUGAGAGGAUGAACGGCCACAUUGGGACUGAGACACGGCCCAA